AAUGUCUCUGCUUUACAUUCCAGAUCUUCUCAGGGCUCAGAUGAGCAUCAAACUCAGUGUGUGAAUAUUCACAGAGAUUUAUCAUUGAGGUGGUGCAGCUAAGACAGAGACUUCAGCACAAACAUCAGCCUAGGAGAAGGGAGGAAACCCUGAGGACAGCAGAAAAUAUUUUGGAGGGAUAAAUCUGGAAUGGCUUUCGUGAAGUGAAAGAGUCACACUGCUGUACAUCUUUUAUUUCCCAGUCAUGCUCCUGGUGGAACCCCACCUAUAGUUUUUCUACAGCUCAGCCUGUGUACCUGUGUGUAUCCCAGCCCGCAGCUGCAGCCUGCCUGCUGGCAUGUGAGGGAUCACCACCUGCCGCACAGCUGCCACCAGAUCCAGGGACAUUUUGGCAAUCUCAUCGGCGUGUCUGCUGCCAUUCCUCUCUGGCAGGCCACUCACCACCAUGUAGGCAUCCCCAAUGGUCUCCACCUGAUGGGAAGGGGCACGUGUCACUAAGUGACGGGAACUGAGCUUCCCUUUGGAAAGAAAAUCAGAAUAAAAUUUAUUUUAG
rnacentral:lncRNA from 1 species